rnacentral:misc_RNA from 1 species
GCAACAUAAAAAUAUAAAAUAAUUAUUAUUGUUAAGCAUUCAACCUUAAAUUUAAAUGACGAAAUUAGCGCAUGCGUUGACCUGCCUACAUCUAUUACUAUUUAACUGACAUGUGUAACACCGUCAACGCUUUCAUUUUCUACACACACUAUUUCCCCUUGACCGCUACGGGUGUAUGAGGCAUGUGGCGACAAAAUAAUCGAUCCAAUUGCUCAAAAUAAAGAUUGUCACUUGAACAUUAAACCACAUCACGGAACGUACGCAACGUCAUUUUAUUUACGCUUAACUCCAAAUAUAUCAAAACUAAACUGCAAUUUCGGAAUGGCUGAAGGCACCUACGAAUACGAGUGUAUGAGAGCAGAAUUGUUAGGCAUAGAAAAGCCUAAUGAGGAGGAAUUCGAGAAGGCGCGGGCCGAGCGUUUGAAACGUGAACAAGAGGAAUUAGAGGCCGCCGAGGCUGCGCUUCUAGAACAGCAGGAAGACCAAAUGCGUAAUGUAGGUGGGCGUUUGGAUGAGUUGAACACAAUAUUAUCAUCGACACAACAGAAAUUAAAUCGCUUCAAGCAAACAGCUUGUGGUAGUCUAUCAAAUAUAUUUGCGAGAGGCUCAGUAGAUUUGCCAGAUGGUACACCAUCCUCCUCCGCAACUGCUAGUCGACGUAAUACCACCGCAACGGGAGGCAGCAUUAGUGGUCAACAUAAUGAUGAGAAGAACGACUCCGACACAAAUAGUACGCAGGAUCUUGGUAAUGUGCGAGAUCAGGAAUUUGAAGGUGAAAUAAAACCUAUCAUACCAACGGAGAAAAUUAGGACAGCGAAGAUGGAUAUACAGAAAAAAAUGACUUCACACUUAGACAAAUUAGACUCGUUAAUUAACAAGGCCGACAAUGCGGAAAUUUCAAUGUCGGAACAAUCAAAACAAAUGAGCCGUAUGGCAAAGUAAAGUAAGAAUGAGUUAAUAGGGAUGCAAACUAAUAGAAUAGCAAAAUACAUAUGAGAGAAUAACUAUUCUUAUUUAAAGCUUAGAGACAGUUGCGAAGAAACUAAUUUAAGUAUAUUCAAAUAUCUGUAUUAUUAAUUUGUGUAUAUUCCCCAAAAAAUAUUCAAAAUAUCGGUGGCAAAAGAAGAUUAAUAGCAUUGAUGGCAGAAAAAAUAAGAAGCAAAUUGGUAACCUUUGGUUAAAUAUUAUUUUGUCUGCUUGAGCAAUAACAACAAAGUGAAGAAAAUAAUUUACUAGUUAAUUAAAGGCUUCUAAAGUAACAAAAAGUAGUUAUAUUUGUAUAAGAUACCCAUAAUAUCAAUAGAAAAAACCUAAAAUCCCCUGUAAUUAAAUAUAGCUAAUUCAAAUAUGACACCAAAGUACUUAAAACAAAAGAAACCUAAACACUUUAAAUGAUUGAAUUAUGAUGACACCUAAAGAUUGAAUCACACAUAAUUGUAUUUCGAAAAUUUUAAACAGUUUGACGGCAUACAUAACAAACCAGUAACGACAGCAUUUUUAUUAAAUUUUCUUUGUUUUCAAUUUUCUCCUAAAAUUUUGCAAACAUAUUCGCGCACAGAAGAUUUCGCUUAUUUACAUUUUUCUGUAAUCGCUUGAAGGAAUCGAGUAAAUUCCCAACUAUUAUAAAAGAGCACACCACAAAAACAAAAGCCAUGCAAUCUGGAGGCGGCGGUGAUCCUCCGAAUACGCCGAAACAGCAUGAUUGUCAACCUCUGGCACGAACAAAAUAUCAUUGCCUAAGAAUAUAUCUGGGAAAUUAUGAAUAAUUAAUGUUAGAGAUUAAAAAUUAUCAAGUCUCUUAAAUUGUUACAAUUAAAAUUAUACCCUCCUGAUUGUGUAAAGAUUUUAAAGACAAAUCAUACUAGUAAAUGUUAAUUACAAUCUUAGCCAAGUAAGCGUAUUGCAAGUUCUUGAACAUAAAUAAAAAAGGAUAUAAGUAUAUACAUA